CCAAUUGAAACACCUGCCGGUGGCCAGACAAAAAUUACUGGUCAGCAUUCAGCGUCUUUACUUGGCUAUCCCUCUCUCCCUCUCUCUCCCACUCUCUCCCUCGCUCUCCGCUCUCCUCACUCCUCUCUCGCGGAACAGUUUAUCACGGAGCAGUUUAUCCGCACGCAUAGUCAGCAUCAGUUUGAAGUCAAUUUUGACAGGCGCUAUCUCGCGCGGAGUCUCGAGACUGGGAGGGAAACGAACGCCGCUAUCUUUUCUGCGGCCGUUCUCGUUUUUUAACGGUCGUCUUGCUCCUGCCAGCCCGGACUUGAAAUCGUUCAUUCGGGACCUUAGUCUGUCGGAAGGAGAGGGAGGUAGCACCUCGCUGUAUCUAACUUGGGCGAAGAAAGAUAAAAUAAACUCUUUGGAAUUCUCCAUACAUUGAACACACAUCCUGUUAUUUCGCUGUUACAGAUCUCUUCAAAGGAGUUUUCCUGGAGUUUUUUUUAUUCUUUCAUUCCUCAAGAAUGAAUCAGCACAGUGGAGCUCUGCCCUAAUACAGUCAACGGUUUAUUAAGGAUGGACUAUGGAAAAAGGCAGUGCCAACGUCCUCUCAGAGAUGUUCCCAGUCCUCCGAUGCUUCAGGCGCCCCAUUGCCCUCCGCCCAGAAAAACUGUCUUUCUGCGCUAUCCUGACAGCCACCAUUGCUGGCUGUACAAAAAGGUCCCAGACUUCAGAGUCUGGAUGACAGAAUCCUCUGGUUACAUCCUGGUGUUCCCCGGCCGUGAUAGAAGGCAGGCCACUGUGGGAGGGAGGGAGGGAGGGAGGGAUGGAGAGAGGGAGAGAGAGAGGGAGAGAGAGAGGGAGAGAAAGAAAGUGAGAUGACAGAAGACACACAGAUGAUUUCUAGAAGCAGGACUCAUUUUGACGUUCCCCUUCUAGGCAGCUCUCCUCUUCUCCUUACCGAUUCCCCCUGCUCAGUCUCUCUAACACACACAAACACACACAGCAGAGUGAUCGCUCCUCCCAGAGUCACCCUGCUCUUUUUUACACACUGCUCUCUAGACUGAGUGUGUGUUUGUUAUAGACACUAGAGUGUGUGUGUGUGUGUGUUCUAGUUGCUUUGGAUCCUUUAAUUACAGACAUAUUCAUACAUGUACACACACACACAUAUUCAUACAUGUACACACACACAUAUUCAUACAUGUACACAAACACACUCAUGUACACAAACACACACACAUACACACACACACACAGACAUAUUCAUACAUGUACACAAACAUACACACACACUCAUGUACACAAACACACACACAUGCACACAAACACACUUACACACAGACAUUCAUACAUGUACACGCUCGCACAGACACACACACACACACACACACAGAUAUAUUCAUACAUGUACACACACACAGACAUAUUCAUACAUGUACACAAACAUACACACACACACAGACGUAUUCAUACAUGUACACAAACAUAUACACACACACACACACAGACGUUCCCACCCUCCCUUUUUCUUUCUCGUAUUCUCUCCAUCUGUCUUGUCCUCUAUCACUUUCUCUUGUACUCUUAAUCCCUCCGUCUCUCUUCCUCUCUGCUGAGCAAAUUCGUUCUGUCAGAAUGAAUCUCUCUUUCUCUCUCCAUCUGAAUUAUAAAUACUGUAGUAAUAUUGACCUGGGAGUUGAGACUCAACUCCCACUACCUUCCUUUCCCCCUUUUCUCUUUCUGUCUCUCAAUUACAUUUUAAUUUAAAGAGCUUUGUUGACAAACAUUCAUUUACCUGGCC
ensembl:lncRNA